rnacentral:lncRNA from 1 species
GGUUCUCAUCUGUGCUUAAUGCCUUUAUCGUUUAACUCAUUCGAUAACUGAUGUUUGUCUUUAUUGAUACGGGGACGUACAAUAAUGUCAUGAACUGGUGAGUAAUUUCUUGAUUAUGCAUUAUCACCUAGGGAUAGGGGUAUGACAAUCAAUUGCGUUUAACUUCUGCUCUAUAAUGCUGUAUUAAUUGCUAGGGGAGGCUAGGGAUAGCAAGCCAGUAAUUAGUAUUAGGCUCUUUUCGCCGAGGGAUCGGGUUAAGGGUAGGCUAAGAAAGUUGCAUGACAAUUAAUUAAUCAAGCUAAUAAUUCAAGAGGAGUAGAUAAGACAGAGUGGAUAAAGAUGAAAUUGUAAACCCCCAACAACU